GGUCAAAUGAGAUAGAGCUUAUGGUGGAUACCUAGGCACCCAGAGCCGAUGAAGGGCGUAGCAACCGACGAAACGCUUCGGGGAGUUGGAAGCCAACUGUGAUCCGAAGAUUCCCGAAUAGGGCAACCUGCAAAACUACCUGCUGAAUUCAUAGGCAGGCGAGAGACAACCCAGCCAACUGAAACAUCUUAGUAGCUGGAGGAAGAGAAAGCAAACGCGAUUCCCUGAGUAGCGGCGAGCGAAAUGGGACCAGCCUAAACCGAUCUUAGAUCGGGGUCGUGGGACUGGACAAAAGGAAACGUUCUGUCAGGAGAACCAGCUGAAUCCUGGACCAAAGAGGGUGAAAGUCCCGUAUCUAAAGGCUUCCCGUUUCCACCAGAAUCCCGAGUAGCAUGGGGCACGUGAAAUCCCGUGUGAAUCCGCGAGGACCACCUCGCAAGGCUAAAUACUCCUGGGUGACCGAUAGUGAAACAGUACCGUGAGGGAAAGGUGAAAAGAACCCCCACCGGGGAGUGAAAGAGACCAUGAAACCGUAAGCUUUCAAGCAGUGGGAGGGCUUCGUGAGACGCCUGACCGCGUGCCUGUUGAAGAAUGAGCCGGCGACUUAUAGGGAGUGGCAUGGUUAAGGUGAACACCGAAGCCGAAGCGAAAGCAAGUCUGAAAAGGGCCUAGGUCACUUCUUAUAGACCCGAACCCGGGUGAUCUAACCAUGACCAGGAUGAAGCCAGGGUAAAACCUUGUGGAAGUCCGAACCGACCGAUGUUGAAAAAUCGGCGGAUGAGUUGUGGUUAGGGGUGAAAUACCAAUCGAACUCGGAGCUAGCUGGAUCUCCCCGAAAUGCGUUGAGGCGCAGCGGUUGACGAUCAGGGCUGUCUAGGGGUAAAGCACUGUUUCGGUGCGGGCUGCGAAAGCGGUACCAAAUCGUCGCAAACUAAGAAUACUAGACAUGCUUUCCGUCAACCAGUGAGACGGUGGGGGAUAAGCUUCAUCGUCAAGAGGGAAACAGCCCAGAUCACCCGCUAAGGCCCCUAAAUGAUCGCUAAGUGGCAAAGGAGGUGAGAGUGCUGAGACAACCAGGAGGUUUGCCUAGAAGCAGCCACCCUUGAAAGAGUGCGUAACAGCUCACUGGUCAAGCGCUCUUGCGCCGAAAAUGAAUGGGACUAAGCAAUCUGCCGAAGCGGUGGGUUUCGACGUAUGAGUCGAAGCGGUAGGGGAGCGUUCCGCUCUAGGGUGAAGCAUCAACGUGAGUAGAUGUGGACAACGCGGAAGUGAGAAUGUCGGCUUGAGUAACGCAAACACUGGUGAGAAUCCAGUGCCCCGAAAACCUCAGGGUUCCUUCAGUAGGUUCGUCCAUGGAGGGUGAGUCAGGACCUAAGGCCAGGCCGAAAGGCGUAGUCGAUGGAGAACAGGUUAAUAUUCCUGUACUGUUUAGUUUGUGGGUACCGAGGGACGAAGAAGGCUAGGUUUGCUCAGGAAUGGUAUCCUGGGAGAAGCUGACAAGGUGACGAGAGAUAGAAGAAAAACUAUCUUGAGCUGAGUCGCAAAGGGGGGACCAAUGGUUCUUUCAAACGGAUGUCAUACUUCCAAGAAAAGCUCGUACUACCGUGAUCAAACAGCACCUGUACCCGAAACCGACACAGGUAGGUAAGUAGAGAAUACUCAGGGGCGCGAGAUAACUCUCUCUAAGGAACUCGGCAAAAUGGCCCCGUAACUUCGGGAGAAGGGGUACCCUCAUCAUGGGGGUCGCAGUGACCAGGCCCAGGCGACUGUUUACCAAAAACACAGGUCCCCGCGAAGUCGCAAGACAACAUAUGGGGGCUGACGCCUGCCCAGUGCCGGAAGGUUAAGGAAGCUGGUUAGGACUUGUCCGAAGCUAGCGACUGAAGCCCCGGUGAACGGCGGCCGUAACUAUAACGGUCCUAAGGUAGCGAAGUUCCUUGUCGGGUAAGUUCCGACCCGCACGAAAGGCGUAACGAUCUGGGCACUGUCUCGGAGAGAGACUCGGUGAAAUAGACAUGUCUGUGAAGAUGCGGACUACCUGCACUUGGACAGAAAGACCCUAUGAAGCUUUACUGUAGCCUGGAAUUGGGUUUGGGCUCUUCUUGCGCAGCUUAGGUGGAAGGCGAGGACAGGCGGCUCGUGGGCCGUCUCGAGCCAUCAGUGAGAUACCACUCUGGGAGAGCUAGAAUUCUAAUGGCGACCCGUUAGCCGGGCGCUUGACAGUUUCAGGUGGGCAGUUUGACUGGGGCGGUCGCCUCCUAAAAGGUAACGGAGGCGUGCAAAGGUUCCCUCAGGCUGGACGGAAAUCAGCUGGAGAGUGUAAAGGCAGAAGGGAGCUUGACUGCAAGACCUACAAGUCGAGCAGGGACGAAAGUCGGCCUUAGUGAUCCGACGGUGCCGUGUGGAAGGGCCGUCGCUCAACGGAUAAAAGUUACUCUAGGGAUAACAGGCUGAUCUCCCCCAAGAGUUCACAUCGACGGGGAGGUUUGGCACCUCGAUGUCGGCUCAUCGCAACCUGGGGCGGAAGUACGUCCCAAGGGUUGGGCUGUUCGCCCAUUAAAGCGGUACGUGAGCUGGGUUCAGAACGUCGUGAGACAGUUCGGUCCAUAUCCGGUGCAGGCGUUAGAGUAUUGAGAGGAUCUUUCCCUAGUACGAGAGGACCGGGAAGGACGCACCUCUGGUGUGCCAGUUCUCGUACCAACGGGACACGCUGGGUAGCCAAGUGCGGASSGGAUAACUGCUGAAAGCAUCUAA
rnacentral:rRNA from 1 species